GACAGAGGGUGCAAACGUUGUUCGGAAUUACUGGGCGUAAAGCGCGUGUAGGCUGCUCGGAAAGUCGGAUGUGAAAGCCCUGGGCGUAACCUAGGAAGUGCAUUUGAAACUUCCGAGCUGGAGUUCUGGAGAGGAAGGCGGAAUUCUCGGUGUAGAGGUGAAAUUCGUAGAUAUCGAGAGGAACACCGGUGGCGAAGGCGGCCUUCUGGACAGUGACUGACGCUGAGACGCGAAAGCGUGGGGAGCAAACAGG
rnacentral:rRNA from 1 species